rnacentral:lncRNA from 1 species
GCUAUACAGUGGAUCACAGUGGGAGGUGGUGAGACAGUGGCUAUACAGUGGGUCACAGUGGGAGGUGAUGAGACAGUGGCUAUACUGUGGAUCACAGUGGGAGUGAGUGAAAAUUCUUUCUGAUCUUUUGACGUGUUGGUGGGAAAGAAUCAAGCCACCAGCUCAGGGGCUGCAUACUCACGGAAGCCUCUGGCAGGAGUCUGCAGUCGGGGUACUGACUGGCAGCAUUCAUCACAGUUCACCGCCGUGCUCUGGAGCUGGCUGGUCUUUGAAGGACACAGCUGUUGAGUCUCCCAAGUAAAGAUCCCGGAAGGACUGGAGAAUCAUUACGUUGGACACCUUCCUUGGAGCUGCAAGAACUUAAGUUCUUCUUCAAGCAGUGGGGUCUGCAUCUGAAAACUGGAUCCACCCGAAAAACACGAAGGGUCUUAACUUCUUUUUGAGGUGCCUGCCCCCUGCCUCCUGACCACCCCUCCUGUAUUUCUUCUUAUUGGGCAGUAUGGGAAGUGACCCUAGGUGCAUGUGAGCAGAGACACUGUAUUCUAUGAACAAUCUUCAUAACCCCCUGUGUAUCAAUGCUCUCUGGCUGCUGUUCCAGCUUUCUCAGCUAUUAUGACAAUUCACUCC